rnacentral:rRNA from 1 species
UGGGAUAACUUCGGGAAACCGGAGCUAAUACCGGAUAAUAUUUUGAACCGCAUGGUUCAAAGUGAAAGACGGNCUUGCUGUCACUUAUAGAUGGAUCCGCGCUGCAUUAGCUAGUUGGUAAGGUAACGGCUUACCAAGGCAACGAUGCAUAGCCGACCUGAGAGGGUGAUCGGCCACACUGGAACUGAGACACGGUCCAGACUCCUACGGGAGGCAGCAGUAGGGAA